rnacentral:rRNA from 1 species
UCGGAAUACCUGGAAUGCUUUCAAUCAGCCAGUGAGACUGCGGGGGAUAAGCUCCGUAGUCAAAAGGGAAACAGCCCAGACCAUCAGUUAAGGCUCCUAAAUAAAAGCUAAGUGGUAAAGGAGGUGAAAAUGCAGUGACAAUCAGGAGGUUUGCCUAGAAGCAGCCACCCUUUAAAGAGUGCGUAAUAGCUCACUGAUCAAGCGUUUUUGCGCCGAAAAUUUCCGGAACUAAGUUUUUUGCCGAAGCUAUGGAUAUAUUACUAACAUAAUAUGUGGUAGAGGAGCGUUCCGCCCAGGGAGAAGCCAAGCGCGUAAGCCGCGGUGGACAGGGCGGAAGUGAGAAUGUCAGAUUGAGUAACGAAAACAUUGGUGAGAAUCCAAUGCCCCGAAAACUCAAGGGUUCCUGCGCAAGGCUCGUCCGCGCAGGGUCAGUCAGGACCUAAGGUGAGGCCGAAAGGCGUAAUUGAUGGCAAGAAGGUUUAUAUUCCUUCACUAAUCUAGGCUUAGUCCUGAGGGACGAACAAAUAACACUCGGCACAACGGCCACACUUGGCAGUAUGGAUAAACCCGUUGCUGUUUGAUGCUAUUUAUUCCAAGAAAAGCUCAUUCGACUUUGAGUCUAGAUUACCUGUACCGUAAACCGACACAGGUGAGUGGGUUGAAUAAACUAAGGGGAGCGAGAUAACUCUCUCUAAGGAACUCGGCAAAUUGGCUCUGUACCUUCGGAAGAAAGAGUGCCCCUUCAUGGGGCCGCAGUGAAGAGAUCCAGGCGACUGUUUACCAAAAACACAGGUCUCCGCAAAGUCGUAAGACGAUGUAUGGGGGCUGACACCUGCCCAGUGCCAGAAGGUUAAAGAAGUUGGUCAAUCUUUGAUGAAGCUAACAACUGAAGCCCUGGUGAACGGCGGCAGUAACUAUAACUGUCCUAAGGUAGCGAAAUUCCUUGUCGGGUAAGUUCCGACCCGCACGAAAGGUGUAACGAUCUGGAUACUGUCUCAGAGAGAGACUCGGUGAAAUAAAACUAUCUGUGAAGAUGCGGAUUACCUGCACACGGACAGAAAGACCCUAUGAAGCUUUACUGUAACCUGGAAUUGCUCUCAAGCUUAUUUUGCGCAGCUUAGGUGGGAGGCUAUGAACCUUUUCUUCUGGGAAGAGGGGAGCCAUCAGUGAGAUACCACUCUUGGUAAGCUAGAAAGCUCAGUCUUAACCGUUAUCCGGUAAGACGACAGUUUCAGGCGGGCAGUUUGACUGGGGCAGUCACCUCCCAAAAGGUAAUGGAGGUGCACAAAGGUUCCCUCAGGUUGGACGGAAAUCAACCAUAGAGUGUAAAAGCAUAAGGGAGCUUGACUGCGAGACUGACAUGUCAAGCAGAGACGAAAGUCGGUUUUAGUGAUCCGACGGUGCUGCGUGGAAAGGCCGUCGCUCAACGGAUAAAAGUUACUCUAGGGAUAACAGGCUAAUCUCCCCCAAGAGUUCACAUCGACGGGGAGGUUUGGCACCUCGAUGUCGGCUCA